UUAUACACUCAGCAGCAACAUUUUAACUGUAAAAUGUUUCUCAAUUACAAUAGUUGCACAGGCAAUGGCACACAUGCAAUCUCAGCAGUGCUUUCAUUUCAAGGUGCAUAUUGCAAAGAAAAUUGAAGGUACGAAUCUACACAAACAACCCAAGUGAAUUUUAUAGAGGAAGGAGAAGGGGAAGGGAAAGGAAGAAGCUACAUUUCAACAUAAGAAGGAUUUUAUGAGAUUUCAAACUGGUGAUCGGCUAUAGAAUUGCAUCCCAUAUGAUUGCAAAACGCUCAUAUACAAAUCUCAUAAUCUAGGGAUCUUCCUUAUUUUUUGCUUUACCCCUUGAAGCGAACUACAAUGCAGGAGAUGUCAUCCUUACUGUCUCUUUUCACUGCCUCUGCUGCUAGUUGCUUGGCUGCCUUUUCUGGGUCUUUUGUCUUUCUUGCUAUAUCAACUGCUUCUUGAUUAGACAUGACCUAGAAUCAUCACUCAAACGAACAAAAAUAAAAGCAUAGUAAAGAUCAGGAAUGAAGGUGGUUUUCUUAAGAACAUCAACUUUGCAAAGAAAGAGAGAGACAGGUUACCUUCCAUAGACCAUCACUAGCAAGGAUGAGAAUCUCAGCAUCUGAGUCAAUAACAGUGUUCUGGAUGUCAGGGUCAGAUCGCAAGUGUGAUUUGAGGUUCUUAUCUCCAAAAGCUCGAGAAACUGCCAACUGGCCGUUCACUCUUGCAACGUCUCCUAAAGCAAUACAUCAAAAUUGAAAAUAAAGUGAUUAUUAUGAAAGAAAGAGAAAUCACAAGGAAGACAGUCCAUCUGAGAUGAUACAUUUAUCCAUAAUCAAUUAGAAUCAUAAUCAAACUCAGAAAGGACUUUAUUUUGCAUAUAGCAGCAUGCAUGCCUUUUAUAUAUUACAUUAAUAUAUGAACUGAUUAAAUCAAAGCCUUCCAAUGUGCCAAAGAAUUGAAUAAUUAGCAGUAAGCAAAAGUUCAUUAGAUUUGUAUAAUGAACAGAAAUCUUGAGCAUUUAAUUAAAAUCAACUUCAUCUAAAAUUGUCAAGCUCUAGUAUUUAGAAGGAAAAAAAGUUCAAUAGAUUUGUAUGUCAAAUAGAAAUCUUGAGCAUUUGAAAUCAAUUUUAUUUAAGAGAAUAAGACAUAGGCCUCAAAAUUUGUUGAACAACCUGGGAUGUUUGAGACAAAACCGCCUUUGUUCUCAAUGCUACCCCGCUCAGUGUUUGGCUCAUGAUCAGUUGUCAUCUGUACUGCUUGCCCUCUUCUUGAAAGAACUGCUCGAGAAUCUCCAACAUUUGCAAUCCAUAACUUCUGGCCAUUUAUCAGAAUUGCAGUGACAGCCGUUGAUCCACCCCUUCCCAAGUCAUGACUAUGCGAGAGAAUAGCCUGGUCAGUCUUCUCAUAUGCUUUUGAUAUGGACUUGCUAGGAUCUGUCCAAAACUCUUCAUCCUUUAAGAUAUUGUUAAACAAGUUCUUCUGAAGAUAGGCAGGUACACUAUCUCCUAAAUGCCCAUCAUAUAUAGCAAAAAGUCCAAUCACAUGUCCUUGGAUCUUAACAAACUUUGCAACAUGAUAAUCCUCCAUUGGAUGAUUUGCUUUCCCUUUUACUAGGCUAAAGCCAUAUUUAGCAGGGCCCUGAUGGCUCCUGCCCUUGCCAGAGCUACAUGAAGAUCGUCCUCCUACAACCUGAUUAAAGACAGAAUUGAAGCAACAUAAAUUACCCAUAUAAUUCAGCCCCACCUUAUAGCCUCUCUCUUCCUCUCAACAUCUACUUCUCUUUCUAACCUCAAAAGAUUCAAAACCCAACAAAACCCCACCUCACAAGAUCAAUAAUUCCACGAAUUGCGCCAUCGAAAACAACGAUUAUGAUAAUCUGAACUAUAAGGGCCAACUCUAAAACCACACAAAAAUCCAAGAAAUGUCAAAACAAAAGAGAAUCAUCAACUGGGUAUUCAAGAAAUUCUCGUACCAAUCCACCAAUCACCCAAUUCUACAAGAAACCAAGUGAAAGAAAGAUAAAGAGUUGCCCACCGCCCAGGACUUGAAUUGCCAAUUCUCGAGUCCUACUUCUAUUUUAUACACAUAUACAAACAAGUGAUGUAUAGAAAUUGAUGUCUAGUUAUAGAAGUAUAUAUCAGUAUUCACUGAGAAAAAGAAUCAAUCUUUGAAGGAUACAG
rnacentral:misc_RNA from 1 species